GUCGAGCGCUGGAAGCUCAUUUCGUCCCUUCGGGAUGAAUUAGUGGAAAGAGCGGCGGACGGGUGAGUAACACGUGGGCAACCUACCUAUAAGACUGGGAUAACUCGCGGAAACGUGAGCUAAUACCGGAUAAUACUUUUUAUUGCAUAAUAAGAAGUUUGAAAGGCGGCGUAAGCUGUCACUUAUAGAUGGGCCCGCGGCGCAUUAGCUAGUUGGUGAGGUAAAGGCUCACCAAGGCAACGAUGCGUAGCCGACCUGAGAGGGUGAUCGGCCACACUGGGACUGAGACACGGCCCAGACUCCUACGGGAGGCAGCAGUAGGGAAUCUUCCGCAAUGGACGAAAGUCUGACGGAGCAACGCCGCGUGAGUGAAGAAGGUUUUCGGAUCGUAAAACUCUGUUGUUAGGGAAGAACAAGUCAGGUAGUAACUGACCUGACCUUGACGGUACCUAACCAGAAAGCCACGGCUAACUACGUGCCAGCAGCCGCGGUAAUACGUAGGUGGCAAGCGUUGUCCGGAUUUAUUGGGCGUAAAGCGCUCGCAGGCGGUCUUUUAAGUCUGAUGUGAAAGCCCACGGCUUAACCGUGGAGGGUCAUUGGAAACUGGAGGACUUGAGUGCAGAAGAGGAGAGUGGAAUUCCAUGUGUAGCGGUGAAAUGCGUAGAGAUAUGGAGGAACACCAGUGGCGAAGGCGACUCUCUGGUCUGUAACUGACGCUGAGGAGCGAAAGCGUGGGUAGCGAACAGGAUUAGAUACCCUGGUAGUCCACGCCGUAAACGAUGAGUGCUAGUGUUAGGGGGUUUCCGCCCCUUAGUGCUGAAGUUAACGCAUUAAGCACUCCGCCUGGGGAGUACGGCCGCAAGGCUGAAACUCAAAGAAUUGACGGGG
rnacentral:rRNA from 1 species